CUUAUAGUGAGAGUUUUGAAGGAAUCCUAAUAAUAAAUUUGUGAUUUCAGGAACCAAAAUCGAAUCCUAUGUAUCUUCGAGAAUUCACAGAGAAGGUUAUGGGU
rfam:Caenorhabditis briggsae complete genome, chrII